UAACACAUGCAAGUCGAGCGAUGAAAGUUGUUCAGAUCCUUCGGGUGACGAACUUCCGGAUUAGCGGCGAACGGGUGAGUAACGCGUGAGGAACCUGCCUCUCACAACGGGAUAGCCUCGGGAAACCGGGAUUAAUACCGUAUGACACUAUCAGAUGGCAUCAUCAGGUAGUUAAAGUGCUAGCGGUGAGAGAUGGCCUCGCGUCUGAUUAGUUAGUUGGUGGGGUAACGGCCUACCAAGACGACGAUCAGUAACCGGCCUGAGAGGGUGAACGGUCACAUUGGAACUGAGACACGGUCCAAACUCCUACGGGAGGCAGCAGUGGGGAAUCUUGCACAAUGGGGGAAACCCUGAUGCAGCGACGCCGCGUGAGCGAUGAAGGUUUUCGAAUCGUAAAGCUCUGUCCUAUGGGAAGAUAAUGACGGUACCAUAGGAGGAAGCCCCGGCUAACUACGUGCCAGCAGCCGCGGUAAUACGUAGGGGGCGAGCGUUGUCCGGAAUUACUGGGCGUAAAGGGUUCGCAGGCGGCAUGACAAGUCUGAUGUAAAAGGCGAAAGCUCAACUUUCGUAAGCAUCGGAAACUGUCAAGCUUGAGUGAAGGAGAGGCAAGUGGAAUUCCUAGUGUAGCGGUGGAAUGCGUAGAUAUUAGGAGGAAUACCGGUGGCGAAGGCGACUUGCUGGACUU
rnacentral:rRNA from 1 species